rnacentral:snRNA from 1 species
AUACUUACCUGGCAGGGGGAGAUACCAUGAUCAAGAAGGUGGUUCACCCAGGGCGAGGCUCAGCCAUUGCACUCCGGUUGCGCUGACCCCCUGCGAAUUCCCAAAUGUGGGAGUCUCGACUGCAUAAUUUCUGGUAGUGGGGGACUGCGUUUCGCGCUCUCCCCUG